rfam:Capsicum annuum cultivar Zunla-1 chromosome 2, whole genome shotgun sequence
GAAAAUGAUGAUAGCUAUUGUCGCCCCCGUCUUAAGUUGCAUCCAAAAUAUUGGAUUUGCAAGGUGGUGAUUGACUCAUUGUAUCUGAUUC